AGCUUCUCGGAGCUGCUAUUGCGAAAUACGGCUUCCUUAAUAUCAAAAUUUCAACAAGGGAGCUGGGUGCUAAGAUCCAAAGUCGAGAGGGAAACAACCCAGAUCGUACGCUAAGGUCCCUAAGCAAUCACUUAGUGGAAAAGGAAGUGAUCGAGCAAUGACAACUAGGAGGUGGGCUUGGAAGCAGCCAUCCUUUGAAGAAAGCGUAAUAGCUCACUGGUCUAGCUCCAUGGCACCGAAAAUGUCUCAGGGCUUUCCCGAGAAGAAAGAGCACGCAGAUCUUG
rnacentral:ncRNA from 1 species